AAGUCGUAACAAGGUUUCCGUAGGUGAACCUGCGGAAGGAUCAUUAAAAAAUCUUCUGAGCCGCAAGGCUCUAUUAUUUUGUGAAGCGUUGUUGUUUGUGUGUGUGUAGGUGUAGUAGGAGUGUGUUUGGGUUGUGUGGUGUGGUGAUGAUGGGUUGUUGUUGGUGAUGGUGUUGUUUUUUGGGGGAUGAUGGAUUUAUUCGUUGUCCUGCAUUAUUUAUAACGACAUUAUCUAUUGCCAUAUGCUUCUCAUUCUCGCUUCUGCACGCGCUCAUCUACCUUUUUACUAUAGUGCGCACGCAUGCAUGCAUAUUUUUUAAACAUAUGUCUUUGAUGUUCAGGAAUAAAUAUAUCUUUAAUAUAUAUACAACUUUCAACAGUGGAUCUCUCGGCUCUU
rnacentral:misc_RNA from 1 species